rnacentral:rRNA from 1 species
GGCCAUGGGCGAAAGCUGAUGCAUCCAUGCCGCGUUGUAUGAAGAAGUGCCUUCGGGUGUGUAAAGUACUUAUCAGUUGUGAGGAAGGGUGUGUAGUUAAUAGCUGCGCAUCUGACGUUAGCCACAGAAGAAGCACCGGCUAACUCCGUGCCAGCAGCCGCGGUAAUACGGAGGGUGCGAGCGUUAAUCGGAAUUACUGGGCGUAAAGCGCAUGCAGGUGGUUCAUUAAGUCAUGAUGUGAAAGCCCGGGGCUCAACCUCGGAACUGCAUUUGAAACUGGUGACUAGAGUGCUGUAGAGGGGGGUAGAAUUUCAGGUGUAGCGGUGAAAUGCGUAGAGAUCUGAAGGAACACCAGUGGCAAGGCACUGACUGGCUCGAUACUGACACUGAGGUGCGAAAGCGUGGGGAGCAAACGGGAUUAGAUACCCCGGUAGUCCACGCCGUAAACGAUGUUUACUAGCCGUUGGAGGCACUUGAUCCUUUGAGUGGCGCAGCUAACGCGAUAAGUAGACCGCCUGGGGAGUAC